CCAUAGCUGGAGGAUAGCCGGGAGAAAUCCGGAUUAAUACUCCAUAAUAUUUCGAAACCGCAUGAUUUUGAAAUUAAAGUUUCGGCGGCUAUGGAUGGGCAUGCGUGCCAUUAGCUUGUUGGUAAGGUAACGGCUUACCAAGGCUACGAUGGCUAGGGGUACUGAGAGGAUGAUCCCCCACACUGGUACUGAGACACGGACCAGACUCCUACGGGAGGCAGCAGUGAGGAAUAUUGGUCAAUGGGCGCAAGCGUGAACCAGCCAUGCCGCGUGCAGGAUGAAUGCCCUAUGGGUUGUAAACUGCUUUUGUACAAGAAGAAUCUUCCCGACGUGUCGGGAAUUGACGGUAUCGUACGAAUAAGCAUCGGCUAACUCCGUGCCAGCAGCCGCGGUAAUACGGAGGAUGCAAGCGUUAUCCGGAUUCACUGGGUUUAAAGGGUGCGUAGGCGGGAUAGUAAGUCGAUGGUGAAAGCCUUGCAGCUUAACUGUAGAAUUGCCAUUGAUACUGCUAUUCUUGAGUGCCGUUUGAAGUAAGCGGAAUGUGUAAUGUAGCGGUGAAAAUGCGUAGAUAUUCACACAGAACACCAAUUGUGAAAACGGCUUAACUAACCUGUAACUGACGCUGAGGCCCGAAAGCGUGGGGAGCGUACAGGGGUUAGAUCCCCUGGUAGUCCACGGCUGUAACCUAUGAUCACUCGCUGUCGGCGAUACACAGUCAGCGGCUAAGCGGAAAGCAUAAAGUGAUCCACCUGGGGGAGUACGCUCCGCAAGGAUUAAACCUCAAGGGAAUUGACGGGGUCCCGCGACAGAGCGGAGGUACAUGUGGUUUAAUUCGAUGAUACGCGAGGAACCUUACCUGGGCUUAAAUGCAGCUCGACGGAC
rnacentral:rRNA from 1 species